rnacentral:rRNA from 1 species
CAGCCGCGCGGUAAUAACCCGCAGCUCGAGUGGUGGUCGCUUUUAUUUGAGCCUAAAACGUUCGUAGUCGGCCUUGUAAAUCCCUGGGUAAAUCGGACCGCUUAACGGUUCGAAUUCCGGGGAGACUGCAAGGCUAGGGACCGGGCGAGGUCAGAGGUACUUUCGGGGUAGGAGUGAAAUCCUGUAAUCCCGAAGGGACCACCUGUGGCGAAAGCGUCUGACUUGAACGGCUCCGACGAUGAGGAACGAAGGCUAGGGGAGCAAACCGGAUUAGAUACCCGGGUAGUCCUAGCUGUAAACUCUGCCCGCUUGGUGUGGCCUGUCCUUCGGGGGCAGGCUGUGCCGGAGCGAAGGUGUUAAGCGGGCUGCUUGGGGAGUACGGCCGCAAGGUUGAAACUUAAAGGAAUUGGCGGGGGAGCACCGCAACGGGAGGAUGCGUGCGGUUUAAUUGGAUUCAACGCCGGAAAACUCACCUGAGGAGACCAGCGUAUGUGGGUCAAGCCGAAGACUUUACCCGAACAACAGCUGGAGAGGUGGUGCAUGGCCAUCGUCAGCUCGUACCGUAGGGCAUUCACUUAAGUGUGAUAACGAGCGAGACCCCCAUCCCUAGUUGCUAACCCCUCCGAAAGGAGAGGUGCACUCU